rnacentral:lncRNA from 1 species
GGUAACCUAACAGACGUCCCUCACAAUCAUACGUAAGAGUGAAUGUGUUCGUCUCUUCACCUUCAUCAUCCUUGCUGUUUUCCCUCCUCUCCCUUUAUCGCCAUCAGUUGUGAAUGUCAAGCACACAAAACGCCCAAUUUCAUUCAAUACGCCAUGAAUCUAAUCGAUUGAAACUCCCAUGAUUGCUAUAUCAAUAAAGGAAGUUCACCACCAAAUGCUAGAAAUCAUUCGUUCAGGGUUACAGUCAUGCCCUCAAAGACACUCUUAAUAGGUCCAUGGCCAUCUCUUCUACCCGAUGUAUUGCUCCCCACAAAUUUCUGGGGUUUUCCAUUUAUUCUACAAUCAUUUUGAAGCGAAGCAGAUUCACCACUUCAAUCCUGUGGACUCUCAGGUCCAAUUUUCUACUCAUAAUUUCGUAACUGGUACCAAAUCGUUUUUGCAGCAUUGAUAUGAGUUUAUUCAUUACUGAUACAAGAAGUGUCAGUAAAAGAAUGGAUGGCACAAAUUUUAGGUAAUAUGGUGUGUUCUAUAGUAUUAUUCUAGGUUAUGGGUGUAUUUAGGUGAACGGAAUAAAGAUCAUACAUGGUAUGUGUGUACAUGGAGUGACAAACCCCACCCAAAUUCAUUUGUAAGCUCACUACUCUUUUGAUUUCAUACAACUGUAAUAGUUAAUGGAAAGGUAUAGUGAAAUUAGCUACAACUGCGUCGAAUGGUAUCAAGCUUUUGAUCUGCGGUUGGUAUAGGCUUACGCUUGUCACGUGUGGCUAAAAAAAGAUAGUGUUGUAUGC